ACAAAUCAUGCGCUGGCCCUCGGGCCGCGUACAUACACCCUAAGCCUAGGCUUCGGCCUGGCUUUCGGUUCAGGUGUCCGCAAGGAUUACCGACAUAGACGCUUGUAUGUUUGACAGUUUGAGUUGGAAUCAAAAAUGA
rnacentral:misc_RNA from 1 species